GCCGGGCGCGGUGGCCCACGCCUGUCAUCCCAGCAGCUUGGGAGGCUGAGGCAGGAGGAUCGCAAGGUGGAGGCCAGCCUCAGCAACUUGGCAAGGCCCUGAGCCAGUCAGCGAGAUCCUGUCUCUC
rnacentral:sRNA from 1 species